AUCUAUUCGUCACCCAACSUCCGCUCCCCGAAAGGGUGCUGUGGUCCCCGGGUACGGAAGUUGGCCUCCCGUGCUCUCGAAGCGCGGCUGGCCUAAAACUGAGCAUCGGACUGAUGAUCUCCGAGGCACGCGGUGGUUGUUCAUUCUUACCUCGUGACGUUGCCAAGGAGCGUCUCCCGUGCGAAGCUCCACGACCCUAGAUUAUUAUCUAUCGAU
rnacentral:misc_RNA from 1 species